rnacentral:lncRNA from 1 species
CUUGUCUUGGAAUAUAUGGUUGAUUUCUGACAAGAAAACAGCUGGUAUUUGGGGUUGUGUAAUGAAACUUCAAUUACCAAUUGUGCUGAAUGUAGUAAAAUGUGAAGGAAAGCAUUCCAGUUUGGUGAUAUCCAUUUAACUAUUUCUCCUAAAUUGUAUGCACUUCACUUUGCGUUGGAUUAUGGAGCUUUUAACUCCAAUCAUUCAUGAUCUUCACCUACAAAAUCUGUAACACUAUGUUGAGCUGAGUAGAGAAGGACCUGAGAACCUACUCAUGGAUCUAUGUUCCAACUGAAAGAAAACUCAGCAGACACACUCCAUGAUACGUCUUGGAAGAGGUGAAAUGUUAAGACACCCAGCCGAGAGGAAGAUAGAAACCACACAGAGAAGUGAGAUACCUUCAGUGCAGUCACUUGAGGAGAUGCAAUGCUACCAGGUAAGGUGAAGGGCUCCCCUACAAUGCUUGACACAGGACAGAGAGAGACUACAUUUUACUGAUCCAGGAAAUGACAGACAGAUAAUUCCUUCCUUCGAAUAAGAAAUUCUGAUUGAUUGUGUCACAUGAAAACUGAAGUGUUGUGUGGAUUGUGGAAUAACCCAGAGGGUUGACUGGCAACAGGUAUGGAACAGGGGCUGAAACAAAAUUACUACCCAGAGUUUCCUUGGUUUC